AGGCUUUAAAAAUGUUACAGUUGGUGGAAGAUUCACACUUAAAACCCCUACCACAACUGGGUACGAGAAGACCUCAACAGGUAAGAAUUAUUUUAUGUACAAAAUAUGUUCUUUAAGAUUCAGUUUUCACUAUUUUCCUUCCUGUGCACGUUUUGUUGCAUUCUUUCAUAUGCAUCAUGGUGUUAUAUCUGCACUCGCAAUAUGCGUUGGUCACACACAGUUCUAUUGAGAGUUUUCAUUGUUAGGAUACAUGCAUACGAGAAAUGAUCGGCGAAUCAAUGAACGCGAAUACUGUAAUUCAAAUGCAGUACAUUAAUAAAGAUUUGCAAAUAUUGAGGGUUUUUUUUUUUUCGAAAAAAAAAUGCGUAUGCUAAAUCUGUUGUAAAACAUUUAGUUUAUCAAAAAUUCCACUUUUAAUCUAGAUUUGAAGUUUCAAAUGAUUUUAACAUAAAAACACCUUCAUCUAUCAAAACGUAUCUUUUGAAAAAAAAAAGGAUGAUUACCCUAUGUAACUUAAUAUACAUCAAUAAUCAAUAAUAAAACAUCGUAAUAGACUUUAUUUUUUUUUAUCUGUGAAACAUGCUGUUGUCAAAUUUGAUCUAUUUCUGUUCACCUUGUCCACUGAAAUGCGUGAAAACAAUAUUCAAAGCAACGCUAGGACAACGUAGUUCAAGUAGCUACGUGUAUAAGAGACCGCCAACCAUCUGCCAACGCGUUCACCUACGCGUUGCCUGUGGAAAAAGUCUCGUUUUUGGUUAUUUCAAUGAGUUUUGUUUGCUAACAUAUUUUUUUAAACUAUUCCGUAUGUUAGAGUACCCAAAUCAUAUGCCAAUUAAGCAAUAACAAAUAGUCAAUAAUAAAAUUGAGAAUGGAAAUGGGGAAUGUGCCAAAGAGACAACAACCCGACCAUAGAAAAAAACAACAGCAGAAGGUCACCAACAGGUCUUCAAUGUAGCGAGAAAUUCCCGCACCCGGAGGCGUCCUUCUGCUGGCCCUAAACAAAUAUAUACUAGUUCAGUGAUAAUGAACGCCAUACUAAUUUCCAAAUUGUACACAAGAAACUAAAAUUAAAAUAAUACAAGACUAACAAAGGCCAGAGGCUCCUGACUUGGGACAGGCGCAAAAAUGCGGCGGGGUUAAACAUGUUUGUGAGAUCUCAACCCUCCCCCUAUACCUCUAGCCAAUGUAGAAAAGUAAACGCAUAAAUAUACGUACAUUAAAAUUCAGUUCAAGAGAAGUUCAAGUCUUAUGUCAGAAGAUGUAACCAAAGAAAAUAAACAAAAUGACAAUGAUACAUAAAUAACAACAGACUACUAGCAGUUAACUGACAUGCCAGCUCCAGACUUCAAUUACACUGACUGAAAGAUUAUGAUUUCAACAUAUGAACAAACACACAGAUUAUUCACAAUAAAUUGAUAAAAUCACUACAAGGAGAUGGUUUUCAUAAAAAAAAACAUAGAAAACAUGGAAAAGGAACACUAUUAAUUUUUAUGUAUCGAAUUUUCAAUUCUAUUAAUACCAUUUUUAGUUGCUUGUAUCUGAUCUGCAAAACAGAGAAUAAUGAAACUUCGUUUUAUUGUAUAAAUACAUGAGGAGAAACACAUCUGCAUGUUUCGUGAGACUUGUUCAAACAAAGGGAACAUUACAAAUGCAAAUUUAAUCCAUGUAAUGCUUUUCCAAUAAAAAACUAGAUUGUGAAGAUGGUUGAUAGAAAAAAAAAACCUUGAUUGAUAUUUCUUUUUUUUCAUUUUCAGAAUAUGAACGUACCUGUUUACCGCAGUUAUUUGAAGUGAAAUUGAUAAUCAAUAGACACACAUAAACAAAAGAUGGCAUUUUAAGUCAUGAGGAAUUGGAUCCCACCAUAUUUGAUAUUAUGUUAAAAAUAACAUUACAAUUUAGCAAUGUA
rnacentral:lncRNA from 1 species